UGAAGCCUAAUACCUAGUAUUGGGUGGAAAGUGGCGAACGGGUGAGUAACACGUUGGUGACCUGUCCCGAGGAGGGGGAUAACCGUGGGAAACCACGGCUAAUACCCCAGAUGUCUAGGUUGUUAGAGGACCUAGGCCAAAGCUCCGGCGCCUUGGGAGGGGCCUGCGGGCUAUCAGCUUGUUGGUGGGGUAACGGCCUACCAAGGCUAAGACGGCUAGGGGGCGUGAGAGCGCGACCCCCCACAAUGGAACUGAGACACGGUCCAUACUCCUACGGGAGGCAGCAGUGAGGAAUAUUGCGCAAUGGGGGCAACCCUGACGCAGCAACGCCGCGUGGACGAUGAAGGCCUUCGGGUUGUAAAGUCCUUUUUUGGGGGACGAUAAUGACGGUACCCCAAGAAUAAGUCCCGGCUAACUACGUGCCAGCAGCCGCGGUAAAACGUAGGGGGCGAGCGUUAUCCGGAUUUACUGGGCGUAAAGCGCACGUAGGCGGCGCUGUAAGUUGGACGUGAAAGCUCUCGGCUUAACUGGGAGAGGUCGUUCAAUACUGCGGUGCUCGAGGUUGNAAGAGGAGAGUGGAAUUCCCGGUGUAGUGGUGGAAUGCGUAGAUAUCGGGAGGAACACCAGUGGCGAAGGCGGCUCUCUGGUCCACACCUGACGCUGAGGUGCGAAAGCGUGGGGAGCGAACGGGAUUAGAUACCCUGGUA
rnacentral:rRNA from 1 species